AUCAGCUUUCGACUUCUAAAAAGAUGUCCCCUGGGAAUCUGAUAGGGAUUGUGUUGAACCUGUAGAUAAGUUUUGGGAGUAUCCAUGGGACUUGUGUUUGAAGAAAAGAGAGGAAUUAAAAUGUUUUGGCCAGUGUGUGAAUUCAUUGACAUAACUUGGGAAAUCCAGAGAGGAAGGUAGUAAGAACAUGCAUUUUAGACACUGAACUUGAGGUGUUGCAGGACACCCAAGUGAAACGUCCCAUAGGCAACAGGAGGCAUGUGGUAGGGGUCUAGGAGAGAAGUAAGAACUGUGAGAGCAGUAUUAAAGCAAUGAGAGUUGGUCAGAUUGCUGACGGAAAGAACAAGGAAGCACUGGGGCCUGAGUUGCAAGGAGUGUCCAUAAUGAGAGGGCAGGAGCAGGCAUGAGGAACCACAGCUGUGAAGGGAAAAUCAGGGCUGGCUGGUGCUAGGGAAGCCAUGGGAGAGAGAGUGGCCAGAAUAGCUUCCUUGAAAAAGGUUGAAGAGAGUGAGGGCUUGGAGGAACACCCAGUUCUCAGCUUGAUCCGGGACCUUGUACUGUACCCUCCAGGGAAAAUUCACACCACUCUUGGGAUAAUGCCUUAUGGAAGAGGUUAAGAGUCAGUGUGUGUGGAGGUGCCUGGGUUCUCUUGAAUCCACUUAUUGGGAAUAUAGAUCUUAUGGGAGCCAGAAGCAGGGCUUGUCCCACUCAUAGCUUUCUUUCCUCCCUCAGCUCAAUGUACUUCUCCAGUUCCUACCCUUCCUCAAGUGGGGAACUCAGGAGACCAAGCAGGGGCAACUGUACUUCGGAUGGUCAGGCCCCAGGAUACUGUGGCGUAUGAGGACCUGUCUGAGGACUAUACUCAGAAGAAAUGGAAAGGUCUCACACUCAGUCAGAGAGCCCUGCACUGGAACAUGAUGCUGGAAAAUGACCGUAGCAUGGCUUCCUUGGGUAAUGAUUCUGUUUCCUAGUCACUUAGAGUCUG
rnacentral:lncRNA from 1 species